ensembl:snoRNA SNORA2B small nucleolar RNA, H/ACA box 2B
UUGGCCCUGAAUCAAGGCCAGCAGUUUGCUGAAGCUGUUGGUUUCAAACAGGAGCCUAAAGAAUUAUCUUUCUAUGGUCUGUUGGCCAUUUCAGAACUUUGGAAAUGUAAUGGUCAAUUCAUUAGAAAGAAACAUCU